rnacentral:misc_RNA from 1 species
GUCGGCGCAUUCAGGCCGCUCGAUGAAGCAGGAACCCACCGAAGCGACCCGUAGAUCAUCACGCGGCGCCGUAGGAAUCCCCGUCCUUUAGGGCGGGGAGGAUGUCAACAUAGCGCUGGCC